CCUACGGGAGGCAGCAGUGGGGAAUAUUGGGCAAUGGAGGAAACUCUGACCCAGCGACGCCGCGUGCGGGAUGAAGGCCUUCGGGUUGUAAACCGCUUUCAGUAGGGAAGAAGCGAAAGUGACGGUACCUACAGAAGAAGCACCGGCUAACUAUGUGCCAGCAGCCGCGGUAAUACAUAGGGUGCAAGCGUUGUCCGGAAUUAUUGGGCGUAAAGAGCUCGUAGGUGGUUCGUCACGUCGGAUGUGAAAAUCUGGGGCUCAACCCCAGACCUGCAUUCGAUACGGGCGAUCUAGAGUGUGGUAGGGGAGACUGGAAUUCCUGGUGUAGCGGUGGAAUGCGCAGAUAUCAGGAGGAACACCAAUGGCGAAGGCAGGUCUCUGGGCCAUUACUGACACUGAGGGGCGAAAGCGUGGGGAGCGAACAGGAUUAGAUACCCUGGUAGUCCACGCCGUAAACGGUGGGCACUAGUUGUGGGAACCUUCCACGGUUUCUGCGACGCAGCUAACGCAUUAAGUGCCCCGCCUGGGGAGUACGAUCGCAAGAUUAAAACUCAAAGGAAUUGACGG
rnacentral:rRNA from 1 species